rnacentral:misc_RNA from 1 species
CAUAUUCAAAGGCAUCAGUCUGAAAUUAUUGGCAAUGGAACAACUCUUGCAGCAACAUCCAGACUUGCAGGGAAAAGUGGUCCUCGUCCAGAUUGUGAACCCUGCACGAGGAUCAGGGAAAGAUGUGCAAGAAGCAAAGCGGGAGACAUAUUUUACUGCCAAAAGAAUCAAUGAAGUUUAUGGUUCACCUGAAUAUGAGCCAGUGAUUCUGAUUGACCGUCCUGUUCCUCGUUAUGAGAAGACUGCUUAUUAUGCUUUAGCAGAAUGUUGCAUAGUGAAUGCAGUGAGGGAUGGGAUGAAUUUGGUGCCUUACAAAUAUAUUGUUUGCAGGCAGGGAACCCCAUAUAUGGACAAAGCCAUGGGCAUAACAUCAGUUUCUCCUCGCACAAGCAUGCUUGUUGUGUCAGAGUUCAUUGGUUGCUCACCUUCUUUAAGUGGAGCAAUUAGGGUAAACCCGUGGGACAUUGAUGCUGUUGCUGAUUCCUUGAACGUGGCAAUCACUAUGCAUGAAUCUGAGAAGCAGUUGCGCCAUGAAAAGCAUUACCGUUAUGUCAGCACUCAUGAUGUGGCUUAUUGGGCACGCAGCUUUAUGCAGGAUUUGGAGAGAGCUUGCCAAGAUCAUUAUAAUAAAAGGUGUUGGGGAAUUGG